GAGGCUUUGAAGUGUGGACGCCAGUCUGCAUGGAGCCGACCUUGAAAUACCACCCUUUAAUGUUUGAUGUUCUAACGUUGGCCCGUAAUCCGGGUUGCGGACAGUGUCUGGUGGGUAGUUUGACUGGGGCGGUCUCCUCCUAAAGAGUAACGGAGGAGCACGAAGGUUGGCUAAUCCUGGUCGGACAUCAGGAGGUUAGUGCAAUGGCAUAAGCCAGCUUGACUGCGAGCGUGACGGCGCGAGCAGGUGCGAAAGCAGGUCAUAGUGAUCCGGUGGUUCUGAAUGGAAGGGCCAUCGCUCAACGGAUAAAAGGUACUCCGGGGAUAACAGGCUGAUACCGCCCAAGAGUUCAUAUCGACGGCGGUGUUUGGCACCUCGAUGUCGGCUCAUCACAUCCUGGGGCUGAAGUAGGUCCCAAGGGUAUGGCUGUUCGCCAUUUAAAGUGGUACGCGAGCUGGGUUUAGAACGUCGUGAGACAGUUCGGUCCCUAUCUGCCGUGGGCGCUGGAGAACUGAGGGGGGCUGCUCCUAGUACGAGAGGACCGGAGUGGACGCAUCACUGGUGUUCGGGUUGUCAUGCCAAUGGCACUGCCCGGUAGCUAAAUGCGGAAGAGAUAAGUGCUGAAAGCAUCUAAGCACGAAACUUGCCCCGAGAUGAGUUCUCCCUGACUCCUUGAGAGUCCUGAAGGAACGUUGAAGACGACGACGUUGAUAGGCCGGGUGUGUAAGCGCAGCGAUGCGUUGAGCUAACCGGUACUAAUGAACCGUGAGGCUUAACCUU
rnacentral:rRNA from 1 species